CCCCCCGUUUUUUUCAAAAACAUCGCCUCUUGCAAAAUAAAUGAAUAAGAGGUCCCGCCUGCCCUGUGACUAUAUGUUCAACGGCCGCGGUAUUUUGACCGUGCGAAGGUAGCGCAAUCACUUGUCUUUUAAAUGAAGACCUGUAUGAAUGGCAUCACGAGGGCUUAGCUGUCUCCCCCUCCCAGUCAAUGAAAUUGAUUUUCCCGUGCAGAAGCGGGAAUAAGAACAUAAGACGAGAAGACCCUAUGGAGCUUAAGACGCCAGGACAGCUCAUGUUAAACACCCCAGAACAAAGGGAAUAAACUUAGUGAAACCCUGCCCUAGUGUCUUUGGUUGGGGCGACCACGGGGAAAAACUUAACCCCCAUGCGGAAUAGGAAUACUAUUUUCCUAGACUCAAGAGCUCCCGCUCUAAUAGACAGAAUUUCUGACCAAAAGGAUCCGGCAAUGCCGAUCAACGGACCGAGUUACCCUAGGGAUAACAGCGCAAUCCUCUUUAAGAGUCCCUAUCGACAAGAGGGUUUACGACCUCGAUGUUGGAUCAGGACAUCCUAAUGGUGCAGCCGCUAUUAAGGGUUCGCUGUCAACGAUAAGUC
rnacentral:rRNA from 1 species